rnacentral:rRNA from 1 species
ACGGAAGGUGCAAGCGUUAAUCGGAAUUACUGGGCGUAAAGCGCGCGUAGGCGGCUAGAUAAGUCGGGUGUGAAAGCCCCGGGCUCAACCUGGGAACUGCAUCCGAAACUGUCUGGCUAGAGUGUAAUAGAGGGAUGCGGAAUUCCGCAUGUAGCGGUGAAAUGCGUAGAGAUGCGGAGGAACACCAAUGGCGAAGGCAGCAUCCUGGAUUAACACUGACGCUGAGGUGCGAAAGCGUGGGGAGCAAACAGG